rnacentral:lncRNA from 1 species
AGGCGUUGCCGUCGCUGCAGCGCGGCCGAGUGCGAGCAGGGGGACGCGCGCCGGCCGGUGGUAAGAUGCACGCGCGCCUGUAUUACUCCACUCCACUCCAUUGAAGCUAGCUAUUUCAGUCAGUCCCCCCAUCUCCAUCUGUAGCUUAGAUGCAACUCGUCUCCACGGAUUUAUUUACAGGCGUCUCCCUUCUUCACCAAGGUUGCCACCUACUAGAGAGACUUGUACUGUAGUAGAUGUGUGCAGUCUCUAGGGCUACAUACACAUACAGGGGCGCCCAGGAGUUCAUGCCGGGGGCGGGGGAUAGAUGGGAAAACAAGCUUACCCUUAGUAGUCUACUCUAGGUAACCUAAGAGCAACCCAAUCCGUCAAACAAAUUAAGUAAGAAGAAGAUAAUAAAAUCAAUGAUAAUGCUCGUCUCCUACGCUCCUGUGUUGUGUGUGACGCUCGUACAUCUUUCUGAUUUCAAGACAACCCGAGCGAUUUCUUGUGCAAAUAGACAACUGAGUGAGUUUUUACAGUUUGCUUCUCUAGCAAAGGUUGUUUAUCAGGUCCCGCAGCUUGAAGCUGCAGAUAAUUCGUCGAAACGAACAUAUGGAUAUGGCAGGUCUUAGGAGCCUACUCGUGCAGCUAGAUGGAAGAACAAACUUAGACAUCGAACAAACUUAGUCCACCUGAUUGCUAGCUCUCACUGCUCCUGCAACACCUGCAGACCUUUUUUUUUAUAUAUAUGGAUAAGCUAUGGAUAGUCCACUCCCAUCAAAGCGCCACUUUUUUUUACAUGGUUGGAAUGUCUGAUGUGUAUGGUAAGUUUGGAGGAGGUAUUGAGCAAGUUACAUUUUCUUUCUUUAGCAGUGUAUGGUAAGUUUGGAGGAGGUAUAGUGCAUAGCAGAGCAGAGCAGGGGAGGUACAUGCUUUUUGUAACUGCUGCUAGUUAUUUCCUCAUGAAUUUUGCAUUCCAAGUUCUGUUACUUUGAACAACUAGUUUUAUCAACUAACUGGGGGCGUGCAUUUGUUCUAUUCAGCUGGCCGCAAACAAAGAACAUUGUGCUCCUAAAAAACUACUAUCUUCAGCAAAGCUAGCCAACCAGGGACCUAGAAUCUCCAUCACUCCAUCACCUCGAGUCUCAAGCAAUGGGCAGUGAACUGCUCGCAGCAACGGUUGCACCACCAGCGGAGCAUCCCUUGAUCCCGUCCACGACCACUACCACCACUACCGCCGGCAACGGAACCAUCACAACAAUCACCACCACCACAUGCUCCUCCGCCGCCAAUGGCACCACUACCACUUCCACCACUACCGCCGGCAACGGAACCAUCACAACAAUCACCACCACCACAUGCUCCUCCGCCGCCAAUGGCACCACUACCACUACCACCACUACCGCCACCACGACCACAACAAGAACCACCACAAGCACCUCCAACGCCA